rnacentral:rRNA from 1 species
GUGGGGAAUCUUCCGCAAUGGACGAAAGUCUGACGGAGCAACGCCGCGUGAGUGAAGAAGGUUUUCGGAUCGUAAACCUCUGUCAGAAGGGAAGAAACUACGUUGUGCUAAUCAGCAGCGUACUGACGGUACCUUCAAAGGAAGCACCGGCUAACUCCGUGCCAGCAGCCGAGGUAAUACGGAGGGUGCAAGCGUUACUCUGAAUUACUGGGCGUAAAGAGCACGUAGGCUGUAGUGUAAGUCAGGGGUGAAAGCCCACGGCUCAACCGUGGAACUGCCUUUGAUACUGCACAACUUAAAUCCGGGAGAGGGUGGCGGAAGUCCAGGUGUAGGAGUGAAAUCCGUAGAUAUCUGGAGGAACAUCAGUGGCGAAGGCGGCCACCUGGACCGGUAUUGACGCUGAGGUGCGAAAGCGUGGGGAGCAAACAGGAUUAGAAACCCGGGUAGUCC